CAUUUUUUAGCAAAGAAACUGCCUAAGGCUAUACGGAUUGUGUGGGAAAAAUCUAAGUCCGUGACAGUUGGUAUCAGAGCUAGCGUUCGAAUGUACCGUUGAAAGAUGUCAAAAGAAGUUACUGAGAAUGUUGAGGGAAUGGAGACCCAUGGAAGGGCUAAAAAAGCUAGUCGUUCGAGGGACAUACUGUCGGUUUUGGAAGAUUGAGUUGUCACCCUCAAAAAAUCCGUUGAGGAUGUCAAUGAGAGGAUUGAUGAUUUUGAUGAUAGGGUCAAUGAUGGGUUGCUGUCCAUGAAUGAGUAACUUAGAGAUUAUGUUUUGGACUUUGUUGAAAAGCUGACUGGUAGGGAUGAUGCCAUUGAGGUUAUGACGAUGGCCUUGAAAGAGGAGAUUGCGGAGCUCAAGGGUGAGCUAACAAUUUAUAAGGCUGCUUUGGGCAAUGAAAGGUUAGCUGCUGUCACACUCAAGCCCAGUGUGGAUGUUCCCAAGCCCAAAGAGUUCAAGGGAACAAUGUCCGCAAGAGAUGUGGACAAAUUUCUGUGGGGAAUCGAACAAUACUUCUAUGUUAAAGGCAUAAAGGACGAUGCCACUAAGGUAAUUACUACUGUUAUGUAUCUUACUGACGUUGCUUUAUUGUGGUGGCGUCGUAGGUCCAUCAAUGUGAGAUGUGGUGGGACCGAAAUUGAGACUUGAGAGAAGUUCCAAAGUGAGUUUAAAGCACAGUUUUAUCCAGAGUAGGCUGAGGAUGAGUGUAAUACCCCCUACCCAUAUUCGUCGCCGAAAUAUAGUAUGAGGCAUUACCAGAUUUUACCGAAUUUUUUUUUCAAGAUAGAUUUAUCAUAUUCAUAAGAUAAUUUCAUCACAUACCAAAACCAAAAUUUGUUAGUCAUACCAAUGGCUAACCAUAAAUUCAUUUCACAUUAACAUCUAAUUUACUAGCUUAUACAUGCCAUUGAUUUCCAAAAUAAAGUUCCUUUAUGUACCGAGAUCUCGAGAUUGAUAGUGUGAUGUGUCUCCAACCAAAUCCGACCUCCGAGCUCUUAACUCUACAAACAGGGGAAAAAGAAACAGGGUAAGCACUUUGUGCUUAGUAAGUUCAUGCAACAGGAAUUAUACUUACCAUACUUAUACAUCCAUCAUUUAAUAACACAAGCACACAUCCAAUUCACAUAAACAUAUACCUAUCACAUACAAACUCAACCUCAUGCAAAUUCAUUACAAAGAUAAAUGAUUGAUGAGCUCAUCAAUUCCAUGAUUUCCAUUUCCUUGUUAUUUUUCCAUAUUUAUCCCGUUGAAUUACUUGGAAUUUCGAUGGAUUUUCAGAGGUACACUUUAGUGUACAAAUCCGGGUCCGUCAAUUCAUAUUCAUGUGCGCACAUUUCCAUUUCAGAGAGCACACUCCCGCGAACCUCAUCCUUACAGCGGGAUUACCAGUCCAGGCUAAAUCCCCUGUAAUAUAAACUCAUAGAGUAUUGUCGGGAUUACCAGUCUAGGCUAAAUCCCCUACAACGACAAUUACUCUAAUGAGCUUGGAUCUGAAUUACCAGUCUAGGCUAAAUUCAGACCCUAAUUCGGAUUACCCGUCCGGGCUAAAUCCAUUUUCCACAUAUUCUUCGGGAGGGCUNNNNNNNNNNNNNNNNNNNNNNNNNNNNNNNNNNNNNNNNNNNNNNNNNNNNNNNNNNNNNNNNNNNNNNNNNNNNNNNNNNNNNNNNNNNNNNNNNNNNGAAUUUUUCCUUUCAUUCAACCGGGAUUUAUUUCCUCUUUUCAUCAAGAAUAUCAAUACUUCAUCAAUUAUCAUACAUUAAACAUCCAAAUCAUAUUCACAUCAAUAACAAACAUUUCAAGCAUUUAUGAAUAUAAUUCAAGUUACAUAACUUACCUCGACAAUUGUUCGUAAACAAAAAUCUACUAAUCCCGAACUUUUUCUUUUCCUCGAUCUUGCUUCGUAUUUGAAUUUUCCGGAUCUAAAUAAAUAAAUUUAAUCAUUAAUCUAAUACAUUUCAUGUUCAUAUGUAACUUUCUCUACAAUUCCAUUAUUAUUUAUAGUGCAUUCAAAGCUACCUCACUGAGUCACAGUCACUAAAUUAUUUAUAUCUUGAGCUACAGAACUCCAAAUUAAGAUCCGUUAAUUUUAGCUGAAACUAGGCUCACAUAUCUUCUUACCAUAAAAAUUUAAGAAUUUUUGGUUUAGCCAAUAAGUACAGUUUAUUCUUUAAAGUUUCCCCUAUUUCACUAUAUCACAGUUCUGACCCCUCUUCACUAAAAAUUAAUUAUCUCACUGUAAAGAAUUAUGAUGAUGCUUCCCUUUAUUUCCUCAGAAAAUAGACUCAUUAAGGAUUCUAAGCAUAUAAAUUAUAACUCAUAAUCAUUUUUUUAAAAUUUUUAAUGAUUUUCCAAAAUCAGAACAGGGGAACCCGAAUUCAUUCUGACCUUAUCUCACAAAAUCUAUUAUAUCUCAUGAUUUACAAUUUCAUUGCUUACACCGUUUCUUUUAUAAGAAACUAGACUCAAUAAGAUUUAAUUUCAUAUUUUAUUCAUCCUCUAAUUCGAUCUAUACAAUUUUUGGUGAUUUUUCAAAGUUAGAGUACUGCUGCUGUCUAAAACUGUUUUAGUGCAUGGUGUUAAUUACCAUUUUUCCCCUAAACUUUCAACAAUGAUAAUUUCGUCCCUGCUCAAUUAACCUCUCAAUUGAGCUGAUCUUUCUCAAUCAACACUUUAUUAUAUCACUUUAAACUACCUUAUAACCUUUGGAAAUCAGAAUUUCAGCACUAAACUUUAAUUCCAAACUUUUUCACAAUUAGGUCCUACAAAUCAAUUUCUAUUGGAAUUACCUAAUAAAAUCAUCUCAUAAACAAAUUAAAGCAUCAAUUUCAUCCUAUUUCCUCAUAAAAUUCCAGCACAUAUUCAUAUCAACUUUCAAUAUCAUUCAUAAAAUCAAAAACUAAUGAAUUAAGUAAUAGGACCUAGUUGUAAAAGUCUUAGAAACACAAAAAUUACAAGAAAAAGGCAAGAAUUAACUCACUUGGUGCAAAAAUUAU
rnacentral:lncRNA from 1 species